rnacentral:rRNA from 1 species
UACGAGGGGGGCGAGCGUUGUUCGGAAUUAUUGGGCGUAAAGGGUGCGUAGGCGGUUUGGUAAGUCUUAUGUGAAAUCUAUGGGCUCAACUCAUAGUCUGCAUGAGAAACUGCCGGGCUUGAGUAUGGGAGAGGUGAGUGGAAUUCCUGGUGUAGCGGUGAAAUGCGUAGAUAUCAGGAGGAACGCCCGUGGCGAAAGCGAGCCCCUGGACGUCUACUGACGCUGAGACGCGAAAGCCAGGGGAGCGAACGGG